UGGGGAAUCUUGGACAAUGGGGGCAACCCUGAUCCAGCCAUGCCGCGUGAGUGAUGAAGGCCUUAGGGUCGUAAAGCUCUUUCGCCUGUGAAGAUAAUGACGGUAGCAGGUAAAGAAACCCCGGCUAACUCCGUGCCAGCAGCCGCGGUAAUACGGAGGGGGUUAGCGUUGUUCGGAAUUACUGGGCGUAAAGCGCACGUAGGCGGAUCGGAAAGUUGGGGGUGAAAUCCCGGGGGCUCAACCCCGGAACUGCCUCCAAAACUAUCGGUCUAGAGUUCGAGAGAGGUGAGUGGAAUUCCGAGUGUAGAGGUGAAAUUCGUAGAUAUUCGGAGGAACACCAGUGGCGAAGGCGGCUCACUGGCUCGAUACUGACGCUGAGGUGCGAAAGUGUGGGGGAGCAAACAGGAUUAGAUACCCUGGUAGUCCACACCGUAAACGAUGAAUGCCAGUCGUCGGAUAGCAUGCUAUUCGGUGACACACCUAACGGAUUAAGCAUUCCGCCUGGGGAGUACGGUCGCAAGAUUAAAACUC
rnacentral:rRNA from 1 species